AUUGAACGCUGGCGGCAUGCCUUACACAUGCAAGUCGAACGGCAGCACGGGAGCAAUCCUGGUGGCGAGUGGCGAACGGGUGAGUAAAGUAUCGGAACGUGCCCAGUCGUGGGGGAUAACGUAGCGAAAGGUACGCUAAUACCGCAUACGAUCUACGCAUGAAAGCGGGGGAUCGCAAGACCUCGCGCGAUUGGAGCGGCCGAUAUCAGAUUAGGUAGUUGGUGGGGUAAAGGCUCACCAAGCCGACGAUCUGUAGCUGGUCUGAGAGGACGACCAGACACACUGGGACUGAGACACGGCCCAGACUCCUACGGGAGGCAGCAGUGGGGAAUUUUGGACAAUGGGCGCAAGCCUGAUCCAGCCAUGCCGCGUGCAGGAUGAAGGCCUUCGGGUUGUAAACUGCUUUUGUACGGAACGAAAAGGUUUGGCCUAAUAAGCUGGACCCAUGACGGUACCGUAAGAAUAAGCACCGGCUAACUACGUGCCAGCCGCCGCAGUAA
rnacentral:rRNA from 1 species